rnacentral:rRNA from 1 species
CCUACGGGUGGCAGCAGUGGGGAAUAUUGCGCAAUGGGCGAAAGCCUGACGCAGCGACGCCGCGUGAGGGAUGAAGGUCUUCGGAUCGUAAACCUCUGUCAGCAGGGAAGAACGGUAACUGUGCUAAUCAGUAGUGAAUUGACGGUACCUGCAAAGGAAGCACCGGCUAACGCCGUGCCAGCAGCCGCGGUAAUACGGAGGAGGCGAGCGUUUAUCGGAUUUAUUGGGCGUAAAGCGCUCGUAGGCGGUAUGUCAAGUCAAGGGUGAAAACGCCGAGCUCAACGUGGGAACUGCCUUUGAAACUGGCAAACUGGAGUGUGUGAGAGGAUAGGGGAAUUCCAGGUGUAGGAGUGAAAUCCGUAGAGAUCUGGAGGAACAUCAGUGGCGAAGGCGACUAUCUGGCACAUAACUGACGCUGAGGAGCGAAAGCGUGGGUAGCAAACAGGAUUAGAUACCCUUGUAGUC